rnacentral:rRNA from 1 species
UGGGGAAUUUUGGACAAUGGGGGAAACCCUGAUCCAGCCAUCCCGCGUGUGCGAUGAAGGCCUUCGGGUUGUAAAGCACUUUUGGCAGGAAAGAAACGUCAUGGGUUAAUACCCCGUGAAACUGACGGUACCUGCAGAAUAAGCACCGGCUAACUACGUGCCAGCAGCCGCGGUAAUACGUAGGGUGCAAGCGUUAAUCGGAAUUACUGUGCGUAAAGCGUGCGCAGGCGGUUCGGAAAGAAAGAUGUGAAAUCCCAGAGCUCAACUUUGGAACUGCAUUUUUAACUACCGGGCUAGAGUGUGUCAGAGGGAGGUGGAAUUCCGCGUGUAGCAGUGAAAUGCGUAGAUAUGCGGAGGAACACCGAUGGCAAAGGCAGCCUCCUGGGAUAACACUGACGCUCAUGCACGAAAGCGUGGGGAGCAAACAGG